rnacentral:rRNA from 1 species
AUUGAACGCUGGCGGCAUGCCUUACACAUGCAAGUCGAACGGCAGCACGGGAGCAAUCCUGGUGGCGAGUGGCGAACGGGUGAGUAAAGUAUCGGAACGUGCCCAGUCGUGGGGGAUAACGUAGCGAAAGUUACGCUAAUACCGCAUACGAUCUAUGGAUGAAAGCGGGGGAUCGCAAGACCUCGCGCGAUUGGAGCGGCCGAUAUCAGAUUAGGUAGUUGGUGGGGUAAAGGCCCACCAAGCCGACGAUCUGUAGCUGGUCUGAGAGGACGCACAGCCACACUGGGACUGAGACACGGCCCACACUCCUAGUGGAGGCAGCAGUGGGGAAUUUUGGACAAUGGGCGAGAGCCUGAUCCAGCCAUGCCGCGUGCAGGAUGAAGACCUUCGGGUUGUAAACUGCUUUUGUACGGAACGAAAAGGACUGCCCUAAUACGGUGGUCCCAUGACGGUACCGUAAGAAUAAGCGCCGGCUAACUACGUGCCAGCCGCCGCGGUAACAC